AGGAUGAACGCUGGCGGUCUGCUUAACACAUGCAAGUCGAACGGGCGUAGCAAUACGUUAGUGGCGGACGGGUGAGUAACGCGUGAGAAUCUACCUUCAGGACGGAGACAACAGUUGGAAACGACUGCUAACCCCCGAUGUACCGAAAGGGCAAAUAUUUAUAGCCUGAAGAAGAGCUCGCGUCCGAUUAGCUAGUUGGAGAGGUAAUGGCUCACCAAGGCUUCGACGGGUAGCCGGCCUGAGAGGGCGACCGGCCACACUGGGACUGAGAUACGGCCCAGACUCCUACGGGAGGCAGCAGUGGGGAAUAUUGCACAAUGGGCGGAAGCCUGAUGCAGCAACGCCGCGUGCGGGAUGACGGCCUUCGGGUUGUAACCGCUUUCAGUGGGACGAAGCUAACGUGACGGUACCUACAGAAGAAGCACCGGCCAACUACGCGCCAGCAGCCGC
rnacentral:rRNA from 1 species